UCUCUCUUUUGGGCUUGAUCCUAAGGAGUGGGGAGCACCAGUUAUUCUCAGCCCCAGUUAAUUGCUUCUGGCGAUCCUGUUUGAUAGCUCUAGGUUUAUUGGCUUUCCUCCAAGUUUGCUUAACUAACAGUGCUGAUCAGAACAGUAUGUGAAGCUAUGGAUGUGUACUCAAGCAUUUUCAGAUCUCAUUUAAUUUCUGAGGCUUAACAGGAUUUGUCAGGCCAAGUCAUUUUCACCAAGAUGAGUGACAAUCACCAAGGAAAUAGAGAAAGGCUCAUUAGAGCAGCAAAUUCAGAAUUAUGCAUAAAGAAGCAAUAACUGGUCCCACUAAAUUCCCUCAGCUCUUUGACACCAAAUAGCUCUCUUAAUUGAAUGUCGGGAGGGAGCAUUUUUUUGCUCAUCUUUCCAAGCAGAAAAUGAUCAAAUAUCAAUGAACCAGGACUGGGCAAUUAUUUUCUGGGCCCCGCUGUCAUCUAAUGCAAAAGUACUCUCCAAAUAUAACAACAGAGUGCAAAUUUCUCCACUAGGCUUCUCUCCAUAUUUAGGCUGGAGAUGACGUAUUUGUAUUUUUUUUUUUUCAUCCUGAGUGAAGAGUUUGAAAGGCUGUUACUGAAAAUGAGACAAAGGAUUUAUGGUUAUGUUCCUGGCUCUUAGAAGUAUACAUCACCAUGCAAACAAUGCCAAAACUUUAUACACACAUUCUUACAAAGCUUGAAGUACUUGUCCACUGCUGAGUGGGCUGUUGGGCUGGGACACAUCUUUAUCUGUAGUCCCAGGUGAGCAGGCUGUGUCUGUCUUAGGGUCCGUCUUACACUUGGCUUUCAAAUACUUCUGUGCUAGUGAAGCUUUGCUCCUCCUGACGUUAUUGCUUAACUUUCCAUGAGCCUGCCGGGGGUGGAAGGAAACCAGCACUACAGCUGAGCAUUUUGAUGAUCCAGGAACGCGCCAGCCAGCACCUCAACCCCAGUGGGAUCCAUGGGCACCGGCUGUCCCCAGCAGCGCUCACACCGGGUCGAGACGCGUGGACGCUCUGCCGGGGCGCUGAGGGGCUGGAUUCUGCUGCUGCUGCCCUCCCGCGAGCUCGGCCGUGGAGUUCCGUGGAAGGAGGACUAAACCACAAAGGUUUUCAUCAGAAGUAGCCUAAACAGAUCGUUGCAAGUCAGGAAAUAAAAGAUAAGGCACAAGGAGCAAACAGAAACUUGACAGUUCUUUGGAGGAAGUAGAGAAGCCACAGUAGAGAAGGGCACAAAACAAAAACAAUUUUGCAGCUGCCUUUGGAUGCUCUGAAAGAAAAGAAAGUACAAACAAUUGCGGUCAGUGGCAGGUCCAUCGCUGCAUGUCAUCCCACUGCACCCAGGAGCCGCAGUGCUUGGGGGCACGCGGGACAUGAGGGGAGCAGGUUACGAUGGGCUUCCUGCAACACCUGGAGAUUGGCGCUCGCUGCCGCCCUUCUGGAAGGUUCCACGCAGGGUGGGAACGCUGGCGGUGAGGUAGAGUUUUGAUAUUGUGAAGCAUGUAACAGAAGUGGAGUCUUGUGAGAAUGCUUUUGCCAACGAAUGCCAUAUAGUGAAGAAGCGAAACGACUGUUGGGAAGGAGCUGGGUUUAAAAUGCUGGCUUUAGGACAAUCGCUUUGCUGUUUGAAGAGAACAGAAGGCAGCACAGAGAUAAGCCUUCCGUGUUGAGGAGAACGACGGGACUGGCAGGAACACAUGGCUAGGCAAGGCUGCUGAAACAAAGCCACCGAGAUGUAUUGGUCUUGAAGAAAGCUGGAGCAGAACUCAGCCUUCGUAUACGUUGAGUCCCCCACAAUUUGGUGGGACUUAAUUGGCGGUGCUAACUGGUGUCGCAAUGUUUUAAUGCUUUCAGAUACGUUACUGGAGGGAACAGAACAUACAUCCAGUGUGGUUCUGCCUUGUGUCUUACCCUCUUUUGCCCUCUUGGCCUGAAAAAUAUAAAGCGAAAGAAAACCAGUGAGCACAUGAAAGUUGGACCACCUAAUGUAAUGACAUUAGACUUUCUGAGCUAUCAGACCCGACUACAAAUAUUUUGACUUUUCAUGCUUAGAAAGGCUACAAUGAAAACCUCAAAGCUAUUCUCUCUUAGUUUUGCCGCUGUGGUGAGCUGCUUUCCUUCUGCCUGGUUUUCUGCAGUCACGCUAAAACUGCUUCACUUCACCACUGCCAAUAAAGGCAAAAGACAGAAAAUGAGUGAGAGAAAGGCUGGCAUACGUGGGGAGUGGGGAGGGCCAGGACCACUGAUGUUUGUUACCUUCAAAUUUCUUUCUAGGAAGAGAUUUUAUUAGAUGUCAAGUUUUUAAUUUAAAACAAAAUUAGUGUCAUGUUAUUCUGUGGGUGAGAUACACCAAAGUGUAAUUAAUCAAUUUUCAGAAUCAUAACACAAAUUAAUACAUUUUGUAGAUGUUCCCUUCUCAUACUGUUAUGUUUUUACAAUGAGGAACUGGACCUUAGGCAGGACUGUUACACAGUGUGAUACCGAGCCUCUCAGCUGGGUUGUAGAGAAGCCCAAUUUUAAAGAAUACUAAGUGUAUUUCACAGGUCUGAAUUUCUUUCUAAGUAGAAAGAGCGGUUGUUGUUGCAGAGCAAAAAGGGAAUAGGUUGUUAAAUAUUUGCAUUAGGUGCAAACUGAAUACUACUCUGUUCCAAAAUAGCUCUUAGUUUCUUUCUUGCUUACUAUGUAGACCAGUCCAUGUGCCUCAGGGAGGAGGUGGUAGCAAUUCUGAGAUUUGAUGAAUCACCAUCCAAAGAAUUAGAAAGUGUUAUGAUCCAAUUAUGAUCGUAACAAGCCACUGAGUAUCUGCAAACAAAAGAAUAAACCACAGAUGUAUUAGCCUGGAAUGUCUUCCAGAUGAAAGAUACUAUAGUUUGCUUGAAUGCCAAUUAUUACACAUUCUGAAGCAAUAACGAAGAAAUUAAUUGUUUUUCUUUCUUUUCUUUUUUUUUUUUUUUUUUAAAUAUCCUUUUGUUUUCCCACAUCAAUUAAAAUUUGUUUUACUCUAUGGCUCAAUGUCUAAUUAAUUGCAUUUAUUCUUGGCAUAAGAAAAUAUUCAGUAAAGAAGAAUGUGGAAAGAAACAUCACAGAGCUGAAUCUGUUCAUGUUCUGAGAUCCUGCCCUGAAGCCCAGGGAAGGGAUGGAGAUCCUUUUUCCACACUUGUGCUUUACAAAAGGGCCUGAGUCAAAUUCAGCAACGUUAAAGUAGAAAACUUAUCUCGGUUUUAGGAGGGCAGGUGUCAUGUUCUUCUUGAAACCUGAACUCUCCUCCUAGCUCUUAAUUGGUGCACCAACUGUGGGGAAUAUAUGCAGACUCUCCCAGUUUUAACUGAGUCUUC